rnacentral:rRNA from 1 species
UACGUAGGGUGCGAGCGUUAAUCGGAAUUACUGGGCGUAAAGCGCGCGCAGGCGGUUCGUUGUGUCGGUGGUGAAAGCCCCGGGCUCAACCUGGGAAUGGCCAUGGAAACUGGCGAACUGGAGUGUGGCAGAGGGGGGUGGAAUUCCGCGUGUAGCAGUGAAAUGCGUAGAGAUGCGGAGGAACACCGAUGGCGAAGGCAGCCCCCUGGGCUAGCACUGACGCUCAGGCACGAAAGCGUGGGGAGCAAACAGG